rnacentral:tRNA from 1 species
GGGCUCGUAGCUCAGUGGUAGAGCAGUCCCCUCAUAAGGGACUUGUCCUUGGUUCGAUCCCAAGCGAGCCCA